UCAGUCGACUCCUACGGGGAGGCAGCAGUGGGGGAAUAUUGCACAAUGGGCGCAAGCCUGAUGCAGCCAUGCCGCGUGUGUGAAGAAGGCCUUCGGGUUGUAAAGCACUUUCAGUCGUGAGGAAGGUAGUGUAGUUAAUAGCUGCAUUAUUUGACGUUAGCGACAGAAGAAGCACCGGCUAACUCCGUGCCAGCAGCCGCGGUAAUACGGAGGGUGCGAGCGUUAAUCGGAAUUACUGGGCGUAAAGCGCAUGCAGGUGGUUUGUUAAGUCAGAUGUGAAAGCCCGGGGCUCAACCUCGGAAUUGCAUUUGAAACUAGGCAGACUAGAGUACUGUAGAGGGGGGUAGGAAUUUCAGGUGUAGCGGUGAAAUGCGUAGAGAUCUGAAGGAAUACCGGUGGCGAAGGCGGCCCCCUGGACAGAUACUGACACUCAGAUGCGAAAGCGUGGGGAGCAAACAGGAUUAGAUACCCUGGUAG
rnacentral:rRNA from 1 species